rnacentral:lncRNA from 10 species
AGAACAAGAGAGGGUGGGAAAAUAAGAAAGGAAAAUAGAACAUUUUAGGGAAAGGGAAUAGUGUGUGCAAAGAUGAAGAAGUAUAAAAGAAAAUGUAGCUUAUUCCAGAAACUGCUAAAAGGAUCAAUAUGCUGUCGUGUCAUGAGAGAGCCACAAUUCUUCAAACAUAUUUAACUGCUGGAGAGAAUGGCUCAGAAUCCCAGGUAUCAGCUUCAGCACACAGAUAAAAUAUAAGAAAGAAUUUGAGGUUGAUGUCAGAAGCAUUUCCAACAGGGCUAAGGAAGUAUUUUUUUGGAAGAUCUCUUCUUGGCCCUUGACAGAAGAAGCAGAGUAACUUUUCUUAGGUGGCAUAAUUCUUCAAAAUGUGUUCAUUUUGAAGAACAGGGGUGAUGGAUGGUAAUACACAGGCAGGGAUCAACAGUCCCAGAACUGAAGGAAGAGUUGACAAAUGUAUCAAAGAUGCCUAAUCAAAAUGUGUCCACAUUCUGCUAAAUAAAUUCUGGUUGAGCAGAACUAACAAA